GUUUUGUUCCAUAAAUAUUCAAAUAUAAACAAGAGUAAAUUUUCAAAAUUGAUCUCUAUUACUCUUUUCAUUAAUAGAUCAUAUAACAAAUUUAAGUAUAUAAAACUAAAAUCUGACAGUGCUUGGACCCCAACAGUUCAGAUCUAUAACUUUACUCAACGUCUCUUCCGUUUUCCUCAGCUUCUCACCGGAGACGACUGCCGGAGAAGACGCCGCCGGCGCCGAAGCCGUCGAGAAUCUCCGAGCCGAGGUAUUACUAGAAGCAAUUAAAUUAGAUUUGGCAUAGUGAUGAAUCGAUCUUAAAGCGUAAUUCCAUCUGGCAAAUCCUUGAUCUUUUAAUGCUUCUACUGCUCCAAUACUUGCUGCUACGAUCCAUGCCGAUCCCUUUGCUGCUGCUGCAUUCAUUUUUUUUUUU
rnacentral:misc_RNA from 1 species